CGGGUAGCCGGCCUGAGAGGGUGACCGGCCACACUGGGACUGAGACACGGCCCAGACUCCUACGGGAGGCAGCAGUGGGGAAUAUUGCACAAUGGGCGGAAGCCUGAUGCAGCAACGCCGCGUGAGGGAUGACGGCCUUCGGGUUGUAAACCUCUUUUAGCAGGGAAGAAGCGAGAGUGACGGUACCUGCAGAAAAAGCGCCGGCUAACUACGUGCCAGCAGCCGCGGUAAUACGUAGGGCGCAAGCGUUAUCCGGAAUUAUUGGGCGUAAAGAGCUCGUAGGCGGUUUGUCGCGUCUGCUGUGAAAUCCCGAGGCUCAACCUCGGGCCUGCAGUGGGUACGGGCAGACUAGAGUGCGGUAGGGGAGAUUGGAAUUCCUGGUGUAGCGGUGGAAUGCGCAGAUAUCAGGAGGAACACCGAUGGCGAAGGCAGAUCUCUGGGCCGUAACUGACGCUGAGGAGCGAAAGGGUGGGGAGCAAACAGGCUUAGAUACCCUGGUAGUCCACCCCGUAAACGUUGGGAACUAGUUGUGGGGACCAUUCCACGGUUUCCGUGACGCAGCUAACGCAUUAAGUUCCCCGCCUGGGGAGUACGGCCGCAAGGCUAAAACUCAAAGGAAUUGACGGGGACCCGCACAAGCGGCGGAGCAUGCGGAUUAAUUCGAUGCAACGCGAAGAACCUUACCAAGGCUUGACAUACACCAGAACACCGUAGAAAUACGGGACUCUUUGGACACUGGUGAACCAGGUGGUGCAUGGUGUCGUCA
rnacentral:rRNA from 1 species